UGUGGUAAUCAUCAGAUAUGAAAUGUCUCUUCUAUCAUCCCCUCCCCCUCCUCCUUGUAUAUAAGACAAGACAUCGCCUCUCCGCAUCAGUCCUUCUCCAAUCCGGCCAAUCAUCCGCCUGCUGUCAGUCAUGGCGGCGCUGACGCUGCGCUUCGCUCUUCUUCUGGCGUCUCUCAUCCAUCACACAGGAGCCGAAUGUAACUACUCCGGCCCGAUUGGUCCCUGUUCCUCGUGUUUUGGGGCCUGUGAUCCGUAUAAUGG